rnacentral:tRNA from 1 species
GGCCGGUUGGCCCAAUGGUAAGGCGUCUGACUACGAUUGCGUCCCUCGAGGGCGUCUUGUAUCAAUCAGGAGAUUCUGGGUUCGAGCCCCAGGCUGGUCA